CCAGCCCCUAAGCUGUUUGCCGCUACAGCAGUUUAAACAGAGGGGCUGACAGCAAGGGGAUUGUGUCACCUCUGGAGGCUGUGGCUAUGUGCCUUGAAGAAAGUUGGGAGGUUCUACACCC